GGAUGUGAGGGCAAUCUAGCUGUGACAUCUGUCACCUCAUGAAUCACCAAGGUUGAUUUGGCUGAUCUGGCUGGCUAGGCAAGUGUCCCCUUCCUCCCUCACUACUCCACAUGCGUCCCUCCCAAAGCUUGGUCGAAGAUGGCGACCUUCCCCGAAGAGACGAGGAGCGGUCUUCAGACAGGGCAUAUGAGUAGCUGCGCUCCCUGCUAGAACCUCCAAACCAGCUCUCAGAUGCCAGAUAAAGGUAUGCUAUUAAAUGUUAACAGGCUCCAGGAAAACACAAAAUGAGGAGACAGGAAUUAAAACAAAAUCAUAGCUUCUAGCUUCAUUCAUGCUCUAAUUU
rnacentral:snRNA from 1 species